rnacentral:rRNA from 1 species
UACCGCGUGUGUGAAGAAGGCCUUAGGGUUGUAAAGCACUUUCAAUUGGGAGGAAAACCUACCGGUCAAUACCCGGUAGCUUGACAUUACCUUUAGAAGAAGCACCGGCUAACUCCGUGCCAGCAGCCGCGGUAAUACGGAGGGUGCGAGCGUUAAUCGGAAUUACUGGGCGUAAAGCGUGCGUAGGCGGUUCGUUAAGUCAGAUGUGAAAGCCCUGGGCUCAACCUGGGAACUGCAUUUGAAACUGGCGGACUAGAGUUUAGUAGAGGGGAGUGGAAUUUCAGGUGUAGCGGUGAAAUGCGUAGAUAUCUGAAGGAACACCAGUGGCGAAGGCGACUCCCUGGACUAGAACUGACGCUGAGGUACGAAAGCGUGGGUAGCAAACAGGAUUAGAUACCCUGGUAGUCCACGCCGUAAACGAUGUCAACUAGCCGUUGGGCCUAUAUACAGGUUUAGUGGCGCAGCUAACGCAUUAAGUUGACCGCCUGGGGAGUACGGCCGCAAGGUUAAAACUCAAAUGAAUUGACGGGGGCCCGCACAAGCGGUGGAGCAUGUGGUUUAAUUCGAUGCAACGCGAAGAACCUUACCUACCCUUGACAUCCAGAGAAUCUGUUAGAGAUAGUA